AAAGUCGUAACAAGGUUUCCGUAGGUGAACCUGCGGAAGGAUCAUUACCGAAUGACAUGCGCCUCUUUGUGGUGGACCAGUUUGCCUGCUGUUGGGCAGACAUCUGGUCUCCCAUGCCUUUUUUUCACCACACAAAACCUGUCGUCGUAUGGUCGUGGCAUCCCUUUGUGGGUCGCCCUUAAAUAUAUAAAUAUAACUUUCAACAACGGAUCUCUUGGCUCUC
rnacentral:misc_RNA from 1 species